GUCCUGUAAUAUUAUGUUGUCAUUUCAAUGUUAUAUUUAACUUUGCCAUUAAAGUGCGAGGUUUGGCAUGCCACAAAACCAGGUUCAACCCACCACUUUUAUUCCCCUUUAAAAGUGUCCUGUACCAAGUCAGAAAGAUGGCCAUUGUUAUAUUAUUGUUCGUUUCUGUGUGUGUUGCAUUUUAACGUUGAGUCGUUUGUGUUUUCUCUUAUUUUUGAGAAAUUGAGAUAAGACGUGGCACGGUACUUGUCUAUCCCAAAUUCAUGUUUUUGGUUUUCAUGUUAUAUUUGUUAUUCUCGUGGUGUUUUGUCUGAUGCUUGGUCCGUUUCUGUGUGUGUUACGUUUCGGUGUUAUGUCGUUGUUCUCUUAUAUUUAAUGCGUUUCCCUCGGUUUUAGUUUGUUACCCCGAUUUUGUUUUUUGUCCAUGGAUUUAUGAGUUUUGAACAGCGGUAUACUACUGUUGCCUUUAUUUGAAAGCC
rnacentral:lncRNA from 1 species